GCCCCGUUCGUCCAGCGGCCUAGGACGCCGGCCUUUCACGCCGGUAACACGGGUUCAAAUCCCGUACGGGGUACAA
rnacentral:tRNA from 2 species